rnacentral:Y_RNA from 1 species
GCCUGGUCCAAAGGUAGUGAGUUAUCUCAAUUGAUUUUUCACAGUUAUAGAUCAAACUUUAUUGUUCUACUCUUUUCCCACUUCUCACUACUGCACUUGACUAUUCA